CUAAACCAAUUCACGAUGUGUCAGUAUAUGAAUCAACACAAUAAUGGUCUGUGUGAGAGCAGCUUAAAAUAUGUAUUGUAAAAUUGAUGAGAUGUCGCUUUAGCACACUAGCACGUUAACAAUUAAAUAUCGUACUUACCACGACUCUUUGAACCAUUUGUUACUUUGUAAAGUGAAGAAUCAGCGGCAUAUGUCUAUUUGAAGGUAAAAAGGCGCGUGGCAAAUCUCAGCCUACCCCUGAUGCGCCGAUAUAGAGAUUGCGUUGUCAUGUCGGGGAGAGAUUUGUCAGGGAUCUGGCACUAAUUAUCAGUACCAGACCCCGGACACACCUUUCGCUGGCUCGAGUUCCUAAAGGCCUCGUACGUUCGCGCGGGAAAAGAAACGCUAGCGACCAAACGCUGAUAAUGACGGCCUGAUCGCAAGCUAACAAAAUAUCCUUCGUAAACUUUUGUUUCCUCUCGUCACGCAAUGGAGGGAAGGAGCGCGUUGCGUGACGAGCCCAAACACAGCUGCAAAGAAGACUCUUAUCUAUAGUAUGUGUGGCAACAAUGAAGAUUAUUUUUGCUUACAAUUAUUCAGAACUAGCGACAAUUAACAACAAAACACCUGUGCCUGAGUUUAUUUCAUACAAGUUGGAAAAUGUUUUUUUUUUCUCCCCAUGAAACGAUAUUUUCGUUGGAAUCUUUUGAAAGUUAAUGCUGUUUUUCUUAACAAAAAUGUAAGGUACCAGUAAUCUUGUUACCCACCCAUCCAAAGAAGAUAACUCUUGCAUGCGUGGCAUGCCUAUGUUUUCUAUCAAAGCUAAAAGCGCACUGCCUUCUUUUGCAGAAUGGAACUUUGAAAAUCAUUGAUAGAAAGAAAAACGUUUUUAAGCUUUCCCAGGGAGAGUAUAUUGCUCCAGAGAAGAUCCAGAAUGUAUAUUUACGCAGUCCGUUUGUUGCACAGGCCUUUGUCAUUGGAAACAGCUUUAAGUCCUUCUUAGUUGCCAUCAUUGUACCAGAUGCUGAAGUGAUAGAAGCCUGGGCCAAAAAAAAUGAAGUGGAGGGAGAUGUGAAACAGCUUUGUCAAGAUGAGGUUAGUAAAU